CAGAGAGUAGUUUAAAUAGAAUUUUAGCUUUGGGAGCUAAAGGUGGGAGUUAAAGGCUCUUCUUUCUGA
rnacentral:tRNA from 1 species